AGAGUUUGAUCCUGGCUCAGAAUCAACGCUGGCGGCGUGCCUAACACAUGCAAGUCGAACGAGAAAGUGGAGCAAUCCAUGAGUAAAGUGGCGCACGGGUGAGUAACACGUGACUAACCUACCUUUUAGUGGGGGAUAACCUAGGGAAACCUGGGCUAAUACCGCAUAAUACUUACGAGUCAAAGCAGCAAUGCGCUGAAAGAGGGGGUCGCGGUCGAUUAGUUAGUUGGCAGGGUAAUGGCCUACCAAGACUGUGAUCGAUAUCCGGCCUGAGAGGGCGCACGGACACACUGGAACUGAAACACGGUCCAGACUCCUACGGGAGGCAGCAGUGGGGAAUUUUGCGCAAUGGGGGAAACCCUGACGCAGCAACGCCGCGUGGAGGAUGAAGUCCCUUGGGACGUAAACUCCUUUCGAUCGGGACGAUAAUGACGGUACCGGAAGAAGAAGCCCCGGCUAACUUCGUGCCAGCAGCCGCGGUAAUACGAGGGGGGCAAGCGUUGUUCGGAAUUAUUGGGCGUAAAGGGUGCGUAGGUGGUUCGGCAAGUCUUGUGUGAAAUCUUCAGGCUCAACUUGAAGUCUGCACAAGAAACUGCCGGGCUUGAGUAUGGGAGAGGUGAGUGGAAUUUCCGGUGUAGCGGUGAAAUGCGUAGAUAUCGGAAGGAACACCUGUGGCGAAAGCGGCUCACUGGACCAUUACUGACACUGAGGCACGAAAGCUAGGGGAGCAAACAGGAUUAGAUACCCUGGUAGUCCUAGCCCUAAACGAUGAUCGCUUGGUGUGGCGGGUAUCCAACCCUGCCGUGCCGUAGCUAACGCGUAAGCGAUCCGCCUG
rnacentral:rRNA from 1 species